GCCUGGGUGGCUUGGUCGGUUAAGCGUCUGACUUCGGCUCAGGUCAUGAUCUCACGGAUUUGGGGGUUCGAGCCCCGUGUCGGGCU
rnacentral:tRNA from 1 species